rnacentral:rRNA from 1 species
UACAUGGGGUGCAAACGUUGCUCGGAAUUAUUGGGCGUAAAGCGCGCGUAGGCGGUUACUCAAGUCGGAUGUGAAAGCCCUCGGCUUAACUGAGGAAGUGCACCCGAAACUGAGUAGCUAGAGUACUAAAGAGGGUCGCGGAAUUCCCGGUGUAGAGGUGAAAUUCGUAGAUAUCGGGAGGAACACCGGUGGCGAAGGCGGCAUCCUGGACCGGUAUUGACGCUGAGGCGCGAAAGCCAGGGGAGCAAACGGG